GACGAACGCUGGCGGCGUGCCUAAUACAUGCAAGUCGAGCGAAGUUUUUCUGGUGCUUGCACCGGAAAAACUUAGCGGCGAACGGGUGAGUAACACGUAAAGAACCUGCCUCAUAGACUGGGACAACUAUUGGAAACGAUAGCUAAUACCGGAUAACAGCAUUAACUGCAUGGUUGAUGUUUAAAAGUUGGUUUUGCUAACACUAUGAGAUGGCUUUGCGGUGCAUUAGCUAGUUGGUGGGGUAAAGGUCUACCAAGGCGACGAUGCAUAGCCGACCUGAGAGGGUGAUCGGCCACACUGGGACUGAGACACGGCCCAGACUUCUACGGGAGGCAGCAGUAGGGAAUCUUCCGCAAUGGGCGAAAGCCUGACGGAGCAACGCCGCGUGAGUGAAGAAGGAUUUCGGUUCGUAAAGCUCUGUUGUUAGGGAAGAAUGAUUGUGUAGUAACUAUACACAGUAGAGACGGUACCUAACCAGAAAGCCACGGCUAACUACGUG
rnacentral:rRNA from 1 species